AUAAAGGUGUCUUUAGACACCACUGAUAUUCUUUGAGUUUAUUACU
rfam:Picea glauca, whole genome shotgun sequence.